rnacentral:lncRNA from 10 species
UUCCUCACAGCCCAUCACCAUCACCUGCAAUAUAGGGACAACAGGAAGGAUGAGGCAGUAAGAAUAGAAGCACACAUUUAUGUAGGGACCAGGCAUGUAGUUUACAUAUUCUGUGUAGUUUACGUAUAUUAACACACUUAAUUCUCACAACCACCCUAUGAUGUAAAUACCACUAUAGUACUCACUUUAUGGAUGAGAAAACAGGCAUGCAGAGGUUAAGAAUAAAAAUUCUGAAUUAAUUUAGAGUAAGUGGAACUAAUUGACAACAAUUUUAUGAUACCUUCUAGACUAGAGAACUCAAAGAAAAAAAUUUAAGCACACAUAUUUAUUUAUUCAUAAUACAUAUGAUUUUAUUGCAUACCUAAAUUUUCACACAGACAUGUGAACCCACUAAAGAUAUCUAUUGGGAAUUAUGAGGUGAUAUAUAAACCAGCUAAUAAAGACUGAAAAUAACAGCAUAAUUGGCAUGAAAACACAGAAAAAGUCAGAGUAACUCAAGCAGUCCAAAAGAACAGGCAAAGCUUCAAAAUCCGAACUUUUCAGCGUAGUCUCUCAACUUUCCCUUAUUCUUCCACUCAUCAGCUAACUCCUGACUUCAGUUUUCUCUCUUCACUGGCUUUGCCUGAGACUAAAGUCUGCUUUUAUCAACACCUUAAAUUAUCACACAACAUUCCGGUUUAGACCAAGUUUCUUGUCUUCUUUGUUUAGUUCUUCCUUUAACAGCAGUGGGGCCCAGGGGAGGGUAAAAAUAAGGCUCACAUACCAUUAAACAUAUGUCUUAUCUCCCUACCUUGCCAAAUACACUUUCCUAAUGAAAAAAUCCAAAGACAUGGGUAACAAACACUAUGGUUUCAUAAGGCUGAAAACUAGCAAGAUAUCAAAGACAAAUGAAUUUAGUUAUUAUUGCACAUGUCUGGUUGUACUGUUGAUGCAUGAUUAAUGUAUAAAUCAGUAAUAAAGACAAGUUUAAUUUUUGAUCUAUUAUUUAUUACAUAAAAUGUGUUUUUCUUGCUUUCAUUUUAGCAAAAUGAUUAUUUCAUAAUAAUUAUUAAUAUUUUCACCUAUUUUAAGAUCUACUGGUAGCAAUUAUUCUAAAAGAUGAAAAGACAAUAUGUAAUCAUAUUCAGUGCAUGCAAAGCUUGAAUACUAUUUCAUCAAAAAAGCAAAUUAAAAUUAAUGUAAACUAAUUCAAAAAUUAAAAUUAUUUUUUACAUUUUCAAAAAAUUAUCUCAUGAAAUAUUCAACAUUAGUUAUUAAAAUUAUAAAACAUAAAAAUUUAAAAUUGAAUAUUUAAGGUUUUUAUUUAAUUUUUAAAAAUUUACAUAAAUCUUAUUGUGUAUGUUAAUACAAUUCAAACUACUCAUAAUUCCCGUGUUCAAUUUUCAGCUAGUUGAGCUGGUAUCACAAUUCAUGUUAUGUCUAGAAGUAACAUAAAUAACUUAAUUCUAUAAAAUGUCCCUCAGCCACCAGGUGCAACUGUUGUGAAUGUCAUCAUGAUUUGUGGUUAAUACUGGAACCAUAAACUGCAACAUGAAAUGAAGCAAGAAACAGUAUGCUUGGUAUUACGGGAAAUGAUCUUUUAUAAUACAAGAAUCUACUGCCUUCUUCUUGUCUGUGAGAAAUCAUUUGACAAGUUAAUUUGUCUUUUAUCUUAGCUAAAUGAUUCCCCUGCUCAAAUCUUCCCUCCACUCAAAGCAUUAUUUGUUUUGCAGACUGGCAAGGAAACUGCCCACAAACAUUUGUGGCAUUUAAAUACAGCUGCCUUCUCUUUCAAGGAUAUAGGAUACUGGAAAGGAUAUAUAUGAAGUGAUUCCCUGGAUCUUGGGUGGUGUCAGUCAUGAGAGUAGAUAUUUAGGGUUAUAAGUCACGUUAUUCCAUUUUGGAGCAUCGGACCUUAAGAAACAAAGACACUUCUUUUUCCUAAUAUGGAAAUAUUCACACAUAAAAACAGAGAGAGAGACUAUUAAUCAUCACUUAAUUUUCACUAUUAUCAUUAUGGUCAUGUGUUCUUUAAUAAAUGUAGGCAGCAUCAUAAAAUGUUUUCAAAAUUCAGAAAAAUAAGCUGUUUACCUUUUUGUUGAUUUGCUGUUUUGAUAAGUGCAGAUCUCCAAUCCUUCUCCUUCAGUUGCAUUCCACCAGGUUUAAGGGAGGAGACCACCCCUCAUAUUGUCUUAUACCCAAUUUUUGCCUCCAAAGAAAGAAGUAAAAACUAAAAGGCAGAAAUGAAAUCCACAAGCAGACAACCCAGUGCCACACCCUGGGCCUGGUAGUUAAAGAUCAACCCCUGACCUAAUUGGUUAUGUUAUCUAUAGAUUACAGACAUUGUAUAGAAAAGCACUGUGAAAAUCCCUGUCCUAUUCUGUUCCGUUCUAAUUACCGGUGCACGCAGCCCCCAGUCAUGUACCCCCUGCUUGCUCAAUCAAUCACGACCCUCUCAAGCGACCCCCUUAGAGUUGUGAGCCCUUAAAAGGGACAGGAAUUGCUCACUCAGGGAGCUCAGCUCUUGAGACAGGAGUCUUGCUGAUGCUCCCGGUGGAAUAAACCACUUCCUUCUUUAACUCAGUGUCUGAGGGGUUUUGUCUGCGGCUUGUCCUGCUACAUUUCUUGGUUCCCUGACCAGGAAACGUGGUGAUUAACGGACAGUGGAGGCAGCCCCUUAGGCGGCUUAGGCCUGCCCUGUGGAGCAUCCCUGCAGGGGACUCUGGCCAGCUUGAGCGACGUGGAUCCUGAGAGCGCUCCCGGGUAGGCAAUUGCCCCAGUGGAAUGCCUCGCCAGAGCAGCACAUGGCAGGCCCCCGUGGAGGAUCAACACAGUGGCUGAACACCGGGAAGGAACUGGCACUUGGAGUCCGGACAUCUGAAACUUGAUUUCUGGCUUUCUUAUGGUUCCCUGAGGUCUCUGUAGCGACCCAUCUGGCACUUCGGAUGCUUCUCUGCCAUCAACAUUGCCAAAAAUAAUUCAGCCUCUGAAAUUUAUCACUGAGGAACAAAUGAGAUGAUUUCACUUACCUAUGUGGCCCUUCUCUAAAAAUGUUCAUAGUUAGUUCAUGCCAGAUGCAGUUUGUGUCUCAGAAUGUCCAUGUGCCCUCUUCACAACCAUGGUUAGCCCCAAGCUGAAUGUGAGCCGAGCCAAGGAUGGGGAGCCUUUCUUCUCUGCCUCUCUUCCAGCUACUACUUCCCACCCCAAAGAAUCCCAGUCUUCUCACCAACUCUGCACUCCUUCAGGGCUCUACAAGUUAAUGGAAAAUUAAAUGACAACAAUACCAACAGCUUGCCAUAUAAAAUCAUUUCUGGAAUGAGGUAAAAUAUGAGUUAAUGAAAGAAUAAAGCCAAAUAAAUAAAUAAAAUUGCUGUUUUGAGAUAUCAGUGCUCAUUUUGGCUCAUAUGUUAUUCUUCUUAUACAACUUUUAAAUUUCCCUAAGAAUUUUGAGUAAAUUCAGACAAAUCUAAUAUGCUCAUGAAUGAGCUGGUUUGGGGAAGAGGGGACUUUUGGUACAAGAGAGGCUGUGCACAUCCAAACUCUGAGAGCCCUGUCCUAAGUCACUGUUGCACUUCCUUGUGUGAACUCUC